GAUGAACGCUGGCGGCGUGCCUAAUACAUGCAAGUCGAACGAACAGACGAGGAGCUUGCUCCUCUGACGUUAGCGGCGGACGGGUGAGUAACACGUGGAUAACCUACCUAUAAGACUGGGAUAACUUCGGGAAACCGGAGCUAAUACCGGAUAAUAUAUUGAACCGCAUGGUUCAAUAGUGAAAGACGGUUUUGCUGUCACUUAUAGAUGGAUCCGCGCCGCAUUAGCUAGUUGGUACGGUAACGGCUUACCAAGGCGACGAUGCGUAGCCGACCUGAGAGGGUGAUCGGCCACACUGGAACUGAGACACGGUCCAGACUCCUACGGGAGGCAGCAGUAGGGAAUCUUCCGCAAUGGGCGAAAGCCUGACGGAGCAACGCCGCGUGAGUGAUGAAGGUCUUCGGAUCGUAAAACUCUGUUAUUAGGGAAGAACAAAUGUGUAAGUAACUAUGCACGUCUUGACGGUACCUAAUCAGAAAGCCACGGCUAACUACGUG
rnacentral:rRNA from 1 species